rnacentral:rRNA from 1 species
AGAGUUUGAUCCUGGCUCAGAGCGAACGCUGGCGGCAGGCCUAAAACAUGCAAGUCGAACGGAUCCUUCGGGAUUAGUGGCGGACGGGUGAGUAACACGUGGGAACGUGCCUUUUGGUUCGGAACAACUCAGGGAAACUUGAGCUAAUACCGAAUGUGCCCUUCGGGGGAAAGAUUUAUCGCCAUUAGAGCGGCCCGCGUCUGAUUAGCUUGUUGGUGAGGUAAAGGCUCACCAAGGCGACGAUCAGUAGCUGGUCUGAGAGGAUGAUCAGCCACACUGGGACUGAGACACGGCCCAGACUCCUACGGGAGGCAGCAGUUAGGAAUCUUGCGCAAUGGGGGAAACCCUGACGCAGCCAUGCCGCGUGAAUGAUGAAGGUCUUAGGAUUGUAAAAUUCUUUCAGCGGGGACGAUAAUGACGGUACCCGCAGAAGAAGCCCCGGCUAACUUCGUG